ACAAGGGAAGAAGUGACCCGCCGUGCCUAUCCCGCUGCUAAACCGCCCGCGCCGUAAAUCGGCGCCCAAUAUCUCUGCGUGUUCUCCUGAAUCGCCGUUUCUGCUGUGAGGAUCAGAAGAAAAUUUCGUGGACACCGGCUGCAAAGCUCAUCCUGUAUGUACCCCUGUCUAGAUUCGUCCACGUGUCCUCUCCUUAUAUUCGACCGCCGCAGUUCAUUCCGAUCCGUUCGCUCCUUCCGUCGGCUCGGGAGCGCUCGCUCGGCUCCAAAUACGUGCGAUCCCGGCUCCCUCACGAGGCAAGGCCGGCUGAGGCGGAGGCCCACAUAGUCAGCCCUUUUGUCUCCCAGUCGCCCGGUUCCAAGCCUCCGCGUCUUUCGUCCGCCGCCGUCGCCGCCGCCGCUGAUGGAAGGCACGGUGUGCCCAAACCAAGUCGUGAAAGAGAAGUUUUCAAAUUGGCAAGGAUUCCUCCUGGUCCAACUAGCUAAGAUGGUAGAAAAGGGAACAAAGAGCAAACAGGAGGUCACCUACUCAUGCAGCAGUCAUGCUUCGCCAUCAUUCUACUGGACGAAGACCCCGAAGUACACCGCUGGAACAAGACAACUGACGCCAUGGAAACAACAUCAAUAAUUCCUGAUGAGUAGACUUCGUGACAAAUCGUGUACUAGUAUAUAGCUGAUUGCUCUCUCUGACAAUUUCCAACUAUAAUGUACAAUUGUACAUUGUAUCUUUUUUCAUCUAAGAUAUAUAUGAAUGAGGUGCUCGACCUCGAAGAUUUAAAUCA